rnacentral:rRNA from 1 species
GACGAACGCUGGCGGCGUGCCUAAUACAUGUAAGUCGAGCGGACGAAUUUUGGUGCUUGCACCAAAUUUUCGUUAGCGGCGGACGGGUGAGUAACACGUGGGUAACCUGCCCUACAGUCUGGGAUAACCUCGGGAAACCGAGGCUAAUACCGGAUAAUACUUUUUAACCCAUGUUAAAAAGUUGAAAGAUGGUUUUGCUAUCACUGUAGGAUGGACCCGCGGCGCAUUAGCUAGUUGGUGAGGUAACGGCUCACCAAGGCAACGAUGCGUAGCCGACCUGAGAGGGUGAUCGGCCACACUGGGACUGAGACACGGCCCAGACUCCUACGGGAGGCAGCAGUAGGGAAUCUUCCACAAUGGGCGAAAGCCUGAUGGAGCAACGCCGCGUGAGUGAAGAAGGAUUUCGGUUCGUAAAACUCUGUUGCAAGGGAAGAACAAGUAGCGUAGUAACUGGCGCUACCUUGACGGUACCUUGUUAGAAAGCCACGGCUAACUACGUGCCAGCAGCCGCAGUAACAC